UGUUCACUCUAAUGCGGGCCCAAAUAACCAUGUUCAUGGGACCCUUCAAACCCAACUUCUUGUCAAGACAACCUAUGGUUUGGUUCUAAGGAAACACACAUUCUCUAGCAACACUGGUAGGUGGUUCGUACUAUAAGGUAGCACAGGUGGCCC